UACGAAGGGUGCUAGCGUUGUUCGGAAUCACUGGGCGUAAAGCGCGCGUAGGCGGCUUUUCAAGUCAGGGGUGAAAUCCCACAGCUUAACUGUGGAACUGCCUUUGAAGCUGUAAAGCUAGAGUGUCGGAGGGGAUAGCGGAAUUGCUAAUGUAGAGGUGAAAUUCGUAGAUAUUAGCAGGAACACCGGUGGCGAAGGCGGCUAUCUGGACGACAACUGACGCUGAGGCGCGAAAGUGUGGGGAUCAAACAGG
rnacentral:rRNA from 1 species